rnacentral:misc_RNA from 1 species
GAUGAAGAACGUAGUGAAAUGCGAUAAGUAAUGUGAAUUGCAGAAUUCAGUGAAUCAUCGAAUCUUUGAACGCACAUUGCGCCCGCCAGUAUUCUGGCGGGCAUGCCUGUCCGAGCGUCAUUUCAACCAUCAAGCCCCGGGCUUGUGUUGGGGACCUGCGUCCGACGCAGGCCCUGAAAACCAGUGGCGGGCUCGCUGUCCACACCGAGCGUAGUAACUAACCUCGCUAUGGAGUGGCGCGGGCGCCUGCCGUAAAACCCCCAAUUUUUACAAGGUUGACCUCGGAUCAGGUAGGAAUACCCGCUGAACUUAAGCAUAUCAAUAAGCGGAGGA